rnacentral:rRNA from 1 species
UUUAUUGGAGAGUUUGAUCCUGGCUCAGGACGAACGCUGGCGGCAUGCCUAAUACAUGCAAGUCGAGCGGAGUU